AGCAUCCUAUUCAGGGUCAUGUUUUAACAUUGACUUUCAAAGUUAACAGUGGCUAUUGGACACACAGUUAAGCACAUGGCGUGUAAGUAAAAAAUAAAUAAAUAAAAAAUUUGAAAUGCAACUCAGAACAAUAAAAGCAUAGACCAACGAGACUGCUUUUUCUAUUUCCCGUGACCUCGUACUUCCAAUCUAAUUGCGCUCCUCGGAUAAAAACGGGACUACAAAAUGGCUGCGAAACGCUCACGUCAGUUGUAUCGUGCUGACCUGUCCCAACAGGAAAGCGGGCCUUAUCAACAGGAACACGAGCAUCCUCGCCCCGUCCUCUUCAGGCCUUCCAGCUCCAAAGUAACCCAGGACCACCGACACUGCGGCCAACAAUUUUUGCACACACUCAAACCCACGCUCAACUCCCAUGCUUGCUGACGAAAGCAAACACAAUCUGUCACAACUCUGCUCUGAUUUUGAUGAAAACAUGUCACAGUCAUGUUAGUAAGACACCAAUAGUUGUGAAGAAGGGUAAAAAAAAAAAAAAAUGCACCAUCCGUCUCCUGUCAUUGGGCUAACUAGGUAAUCAGUGAUGGCCUUUUAUGAAAGAACUCCUUGACCUCAGAAGACAGAUAAUGUUUGAUACACACGUGUAAUCUGUGCAGUGCUGGCAGAGGACAUGUCAGUGUGCGAUUUGGCGUGUGCAGUUUGUCUGUCUCGUCUCCAGCUGUCACCUCUGGCACCCACUCCCCCCCUUGGGGGCGUAGAGUUAGCACCCUUCACCAACACCUCUUCCAGAACUAACAACCAGGAGAUCAUUCCUCGCAGGUUGGGGCGUUGUUGCACACUGACGGCAGGCAUGUUCAUUGCGGUGGGACGAGUUCCAGACCCAUGCCCCCGGUGGGGUGGCUUGUGAUGUUGGAGUCUGGAACCAAACGUCCGUCUCGGGAGUCUGCAGUUCACACAGAACAGUACUGGUGUACCAAGUUCCCACAUACAACAUACAACGUUGGGCUCGGGAUCAUUCUUGGAGGAACGGUUAGGAGCCAUCACUUGCCGUUCACAAGUCGUUUACAUCAGAGUUGGGAAAUAAACGUAACACGGUCUAGUCAAAGGUAUCUGGAAAUACUUACUGCGUUGUAUAAUCACAUCGGUGGCUUAAGGCUACGGUGGAAAUAUUGGUAGCUUAAUAAUGACAUGGAGCAAAGAGGAGAAAAAGCCUGACGGCGACUCGCAAAACUCCCGAGAGGACAGCGGGCCAAGCUCGUGCCGCACAUUUCAAGGCGAUGAGAGAAUGGAGCGGCGUUUUAUAUAUUGCCAUCUGUGUUUUGUUGUGCAUGCCUUCUCUGCAAACGUGAUUAAUUGGAGCUUCAGGAAUGUGCGCGCACUGUUUAGUCUUCAGCGGCCCCGAGUCGUCGGCCCCUGACCCAACCAGGGAACCAGAACACCUCUAAAAGCCAUCAGACGUCACCUUAUCUAAACGCAGCGCAGGAGAGCGGCGGCCUCCUCCUCCUCCCAUUGGUCCAUCCAUCCUGUCCUUCGUCAUAAACCAAAUUCAGUCUCCCCUUAAGAGUAUUUUGAUCACCGCAGACUCCGACCCGGACGGAUUGGCAUUUCCUGUGGGCGGAGCCGGGGAGCAGACGCAUUCUUGGGCCAGUCACCUUCACUUCCUGUCUCUGCAAACACCCCACUGAAACCCAAGCAGUGUGGACCAGCGUUGCGCUUUACUUUCUCAUCGACGAUGCGUUGCACUAUAGAGUACUCCCGUUCCUAGAGGCUCGUGUAAGACAAAGCUGAACAAGGCCGCCAUAUCGGUUUGGUGAUAUUGAAGGGAACGGAACUUCCAGAAUGUUGCGGUGUUUUGUCGCGCUUCGGCAACACAUCACACAACGCAACGGCAAGGACAAAGACGUGAAAAAUAGUUAGAAGAACCCAUCCCGUGCCACCAGGAGCGGAGCUACAUGCUCGCCAUUCACACUCUCUGGCCACCCCGCAUCGAGAGGAAAAUUUUGAUACCAGUACAUUUUCUGCCAUUUUCACAGGAUGGAGUAUUCCUGGAUCCUUUGAGACUGCCACAUGACAGAUUAUUAGACAUUACACCCAUGGGGCUCCAGAUUCAGC